AGUCAAUAGAUACCCCGGUAGUCCUGGCCUUAAACGAUGGAUGCUUGGUGUCUGGAGUUUUAUAGUCUCCGGGUGCCGUAGCUAAACGCGUUAAGCAUCCCGCCUGGGGAGUACGGUCGCAAGACUGAAACUCAAAGGAAUUGACGGGGGACCCGCACAAGCGGUGGAGCAUGUGGUUCAAUUCGACGCAACGCGAAGAACCUUACCUGGGCUAGAAUGCCUCUGACAACUCCAGAGAUGGAGCUUUCUAGGGAAACCUAGACGGAGUGCAAGGUGCUGCAUGGCUGUCGUCAGCUCGUGUCGUGAGAUGCUGGGUUAAGUCCCGCAACGAGCGCAACCCUUAUCGAUAGUUGCUAGCGGUUCGGCCGAGCACUCUAUUGAGACUGCCGUUGAC
rnacentral:rRNA from 1 species